AGGCACUGCCUGCCCAGUGACACAUGUUCAACGGCCGCGGUAUCCUGACCGUGCAAAGGUAGCAUAAUCACUUGUUCCCUAAAUAGGGACUUGUAUGAACGGCCACACGAGGGUUUAACUGUCUCUUACUUUUAAUCAGUGAAAUUGACCUAUCCGUGAAGAGGCGGAUAUACUAAAAUAAGACGAGAAGACCCUGUGGAGCUUCAAUUUAAUAGUACAAACUAGUACCUCCAAAGCCUANCAGGCAGUAAACUACCGUCAAUGUACUAUGAAUUUUGGUUGGGGUGACCUCGGAGUACAACAUAACCUCCGAAAAACAUACACUAAGACCUAACUAGUCUAAGUAAAUAUAUACACUCAUUGACCCAAUANNNANCUUGAUCAACGGACUAAGUUACCCCAGGGAUAACAGCGCAAUCCUAUUUUAGAGUCCAUAUCGACAAUAGGGUUUACGACCUCGAUGUUGGAUCAAGACAUCCUAAUGGUGCAGAAGCUAUUAAGGGUUCGUUUGUUCAACGAUUAAAGUCUUAC
rnacentral:rRNA from 1 species